UACGGGGGGAGCAAGCGUUGUUCGGAUUUACUGGGCGUAAAGGGCGCGUAGGCGGUCAGCACAAGUCAGUUGUGAAAUCUCCGGGCUUAACUCGGAAAGGUCAACUGAUACUGUGCGGCUAGAGUGCGGAAGGGGCAACUGGAAUUCUUGGUGUAGCGGUGAAAUGCGUAGAUAUCGAGAGGAACACCUGCGGCGAAGGCGGGUUGCUGGGCUGACACUGACGCUGAGGCGCGAAAGCUAGGGGAGCGAACGGG
rnacentral:rRNA from 1 species